CGAACAGCCGGCGCAAGGGCGCCGGCGAGGACAACCAAUCUAGACCGUGCAAAGCCGUGCAGGGAGUCGGCUAACGGCGACGCGUUGCGUCUGCAGGACCGGGACGAUGGUUAAAAUUGCAAGCCCUGCAACCAAUGUCGGCGAAUUCUAGCAGGGAUUUAUAGACCGUCAACACUAUAGAACGUCAAAUCUAUAACUAAUUGUAA
rnacentral:sRNA from 2 species